GACGAACGCUGGCGGCGUGCUUAACACAUGCAAGUCGAACGGUAAGGCCUUUCGGGGUACACGAGUGGCGAACGGGUGAGUAACACGUGGGUGAUCUGCCCUGCACUUCGGGAUAAGCCCGGGAAACUGGGUCUAAUACCGGAUAGGACUGCGCGGUGCAUGCCGUGUGGUGGAAAGAUUUAUCGGUGCAGGAUGGGCCCGCGGCCUAUCAGCUUGUUGGUGGGGUAAUGGCCUACCAAGGCGACGACGGGUAGCCGGCCUGAGAGGGCGACCGGCCACACUGGGACUGAGACACGGCCCAGAAUCCUACGGGAGGCAGCAGUGGGGAAUAUUGCACAAUGGGCGCAAGCCUGAUGCAGCGACGCCGCGUGAGGGAUGACGGCCUUCGGGUUGUAAACCUCUUUCAGCAGGGACGAAGCGUGAGUGACGGUACCUGCAGAAGAAGCACCGGCCAACUACGUG
rnacentral:rRNA from 1 species